rnacentral:rRNA from 1 species
UACGUAGGGUGCAAGCGUUGUCCGGAAUUAUUGGGCGUAAAGAGCUCGUAGGCGGUUUGUCGCGUCGAAUGUGAAAACCCGGGGCUCAACCCCGGGCCUGCAUUCGAUACGGGCAGACUAGAGUUCGGUAGGGGAGUCUGGAAUUCCUGGUGUAGCGGUGAAAUGCGCAGAUAUCAGGAGGAACACCGGUGGCGAAGGCGGGACUCUGGGCCGAUACUGACGCUGAGGACGAAAGCGUGGGGAGCAAACAGG